UACGGGGGGGGCAAGCGUUGUUCAGAAUUACUGGGCGUAAAGGGCUCGUAGGUGGCCAACUAAGUCAGACGUGAAAUCCCUCGGCUUAACCGGGGAACUGCGUCUGAUACUGGAUGGCUUGAGUUUGGGAGAGGGACGCGGAAUUCCGGGUGUAGUGGUGGAAUGCGUAGAGAUCCGGAAGAACACCAGUGGCGAAGGCGGCCCGCUGGGCAGUGGCUGACGCUGAGGCGCGACAGCGUGGGGAGCAAACAGG
rnacentral:rRNA from 1 species